rnacentral:misc_RNA from 1 species
ACAAAAUCCUUGGUGGAAGAGGAACCCUGAAUAUUACCCUAUGCUUUGAAGACACUGCAGUCCUCUAUGGAAUUUGUAUAUUCUUUUGGGUACUGGCUACCAUUAACUUUCUCUGUCGCAAAAAGAGAGAAUUUGUCCUUAUUCCCUUCAAUCUAUUGCUAGUGACAAGAGUGGUUUUAUGUUUUGGCAUUGUGUUAGUAGCAGUUUGUGAUUUUGUGUACUCUGUCAUUGUUGAAAUGAAGAAUGGAGGUGUGCCAGCUUACUACUUUCUCUCUCCUAUCAUUCUAGCAAUCACAAUGGUGAUAGUGAUUUUAUUGUUAAUAUCAGAGUAUAAGAAAGGAGUUAGGUCUUCUGGUCCUCCUGUCAUCCUAUGGAUUGGUCUAGUGGUCUAUGCGUCCAUUAAAAUGUGGACUAUACUUGCCAAGGCUGAUGUAACAGGAAUCAUUGAAGUAUUCUAUUUCACUACAUUUUCUGUGGAGUUUUUCUUUUUCGUACUUCAACUUCUGCUCUCAUUCAUACCAGAACCAAAAUCAAUUGAUGACUACAUCAGAGACACUGAGUAUAAACCUUCACCUGAAGGAUCAGCAUCAUUCUUUUCCCUUGUGACUUGGUGGUGGCUGAAAUCACUGAUGUGGAAGGGAUCGCAUAAAGUGCUAUCUCAUGAUGAUCUUUAUGAUAUUAACUAUGAGGAUAAAUCUGAAGUGACUUCUAUCAGGUUUCAAAAGGAAUGGGAUAAAGAAGUGAAGAGAUCAGGGUUAGUAUUUGUUCAAGGACAAUCAAAUAAACAAUCACAGAAAAGAAGAGAACCAUCUCUAGUACUUGCAUUAUUCAGAGCUUAUGGAUUGGACAUUAUUACUGGUGGAUUCUAUAAACUAUGCUAUGACAUACUCAUCUUUAUUAAUCCUCUGCUCCUUAGGUUAAUGGUAGCAUAUAUUCAUGAUAAGAAUCAACCUGCAUGGAAUGGAUACUUUUAUGCAGUGGCAAUGUUUCUUAAUGCAUUACUGCAUUCUCUUACUUAUCAACAAUACUUUAAUCAUAUUACAGUAACUGGAAUGAGAAUCAGAACAGGUUUGAUUGCUGCAAUCUACAACAAGUCCCUAGUUUUGACAAGAAAGUCUUAUCAGAUCAGAACAAUAGGAGAGAUGGUUAAUCUCAUGUCUAUUGAUGCCCACAGAUUCAUAGAGACAUUGAGCUACUUUCAUAUGGUUUGGUCUGGCCCUUUACAGAUUGUUGUUGCUCUAGUGGUCUUAUACUGGACAAUGGGUUUUGCUAUUCUCGCUGGCCUGGCAGUAUUGCUAUUAUUGCUACCCUUUACUUUACUGGUGUUCCUUGUUGGACGAUACUUUCAAACUAAACUGAUGAAAGCUAAGGACAAGAGACUGAAAAUUAUUAAUAGCAUCAUUGGUGGCAUCAAGGUGAUUAAACUAUAUGCAUGGGAGAUUCCAUUUCGAAAUAAAGUCAAAGAAUUACGAAAUAUAGAGCUUCACAACCUAAGGACUAUAUCCCGCAUUCAGGCAUUUUCUGCUCUUACAUGGUUCAGCACUAACACUGCUGUUAUACUGGUUACAUUUGGCACAUUCUUGGUGAUUAAUUUCAGUAGGUCAAGUACUGAUUUUAGCCUCACAGCAGGAAAAGUUUUUGUUGUGAUCUCACUAUUUGAUAUUCUUAGAUAUCCACUCACUAGAUUACCAAUGACAAUUGCAUACAUGAUUCAAGCUAAUGUGUCACUGAAACGAUUGAGUUCAUUUUUAACUGCGGAAGAACUUGAUCCUGAAGGUGUUGAGAGAAGUGAAAAAUAUGAUGAAAGUUUAGAUGCAGUAUCAAUAACAGGAGGUGUGUUCACAUGGGAAGAUGAGGCAGACAAUUUCCUCUUAUCAAAUAUUGAAUUAUCUGUGAGACCUGGUGAGCUAGUGGCUGUAGUGGGACCUGUUGGAGCUGGUAAAUCAGCAUUGAUAUCAGCCAUCUUAGGAGAAAUGAAUAAGAUAAAUGGACAUGUAGUUCUUAGGGGUAGAGUAGCUUAUGUACCUCAGAUUGCUUGGAUAUUGAAUGCUACAGUCAAAGAUAACAUUACUUUUGGUAAAGGGUUCAAUAACGUUCUCUACAAUGAGGUCAUUAGUACUUGUGCUUUGGAAGCAGAUAUGGAAAUAUUACCAGGAGGGGACAUGACUGAAAUAGGAGAGAAAGGUAUUAAUCUUAGUGGUGGUCAGAAACAACGUGUUAGUCUAGCUAGAGCAGUCUACCAGGAGUCUGAUGUUUAUUUACUUGAUGAUCCUUUAUCUGCUGUUGAUUCACAUGUUGGUAAACACAUAUUUGAUAAUGUGAUAGGACCUGAAGGAGUAUUGAAAAACAAAGUACGUAUAUUAGUGACUCAUAGUGUGAGGUUCCUAUCUCAAUGUGAUAAGAUAAUUGUCAUGAAUGAAGGCAGGAUUAGUGAGGUUGGAACUUAUUCAGAACUACUUGGACACAAUGGAGAGUUCUCUGUGUUUCUACAAAACUAUGGCUCAACAGAUGAGAGUGAUGAAAAGAAACAAAACACUGAAAAAAUAGCUGACAAAUUGGAGUAUUUUCCUGAUAAGGACAGCAAAGAGUCAACUCUUUUGUCUGAUGAGAAAGUUCAAGUUGGCAUUGUCAAGAUGUCUGUUGUGUUUGCAUAUCUCAAGUCAUUCACAUUUAUUAUAUUUCUAAUUUUGUUGAUAUUCUCAUUUCUUUCCACUGGAGGAUAUGUUGGUCAGUUGCUCUGGUUAGCUCAUUGGAGUAAUGCUGGAGGAAAUGAUAACUUGACACUUUUUGCUAAUCUUGGUAUAUAUGCCACGUUUGGAAUCGUACAAUCUGUUUCACUGCUAUUUGCUUCACUGACAUUAUCAUUUGGAACUGUUAAAGCUUCAAGGAGACUCCAUGAUGAAAUGCUAUCCAGCAUACUUCGAUCACCAAUGUCAUUCUUUGAUACUACACCUCUAGGAAGACUCCUGAAUAGAUUCUCAAAAGACAUAGAUGCUGUUGAUGAAAAGAUUCCUUUGUUUACAAACUCAUUUCUCAUAACAGUUUUCUCAACUUUUGGAGUCAUCACUAUUAUCUCUGUGGCCUCUCCAUGGUUCCUCAUAGUCAUAGUACCGAUAACAGUCUUCUACUUGAUUGUCCAGCGUUUUUACGUAGCAACUUCAAGACAGUUAAAGCGUCUUGAAGCUACCUCACGCUCUCCAAUUUAUUCUCAUUUUCAAGAGAGCAUUGAUGGAAUCUCUAGCAUCAGAGCUUAUAAUGUUGCUGAAAGAUUUCGAUUGCAGUCUGAGCUUCAUGUAGACUACAAUCAAAUUGCUUUGUAUGUUAGCCAUUCCUCAAUAGUCAGGUGGUUAUCAGUUCAGCUUGAUUUCGUUGGAUCAGUCAUCGUUUUUUCGGCAGCAAUGUUUGCAACUCUUCAACGUAAUUAUCCGCACAUUUUUGGUUUUAUUGACCCUGGUUUAGCUGGAAUGUCAAUUAGCCAAGCUUUUUUGAUGACAUUACUAUUGGCCAUGGUAGUAAGAAUGACAAGUGACUUGGAGAGCAGUUUAGUGUCUGUUGAAAGAAUCAAAGAAUACACAGAGUUACCUAAUGAAGCUCCUGAAGUUAUUCCUGAUAAUAGGCCUGAUCCUAAUUGGCCAGUAGAUGGUAGCAUUCAAUUUGAUGAAUAUGCUACACGCUAUCGUCCUGGACUUGAUCUUGUACUAAAGAAUGUGUCUUGUUACAUACCUGGUGGUCAAAAAGUUGGUGUUGUAGGACGGACUGGAGCAGGGAAGUCAUCAUUAACUAUGUCAUUGUUUCGUAUCAUUGAAGCUGAUAAAGGAUCCAUUUUAAUUGAUGGCAUGGACAUCAGUAAAUAUGGACUACGUGACCUUAGAUCACGACUAACAAUCAUUCCACAAGGCCACUUCGUUUUAAUCUUGAUCCCUUUGAUACUUGCACUGAUGAUGAAAUAUGGAGGGCUCUACACAAUGCCCAUUUGAGCACAUAUGUACAGGGACUGAGCAGAGGGCUGGAUCACAUUGUAACUGAGGGAGGAGAAAACUUGAGUGUUGGUCAGUGUCAGUUAGUGUGUCUUGCUCGGGCGUUGCUCCGUAAGACAAAGAUACUAGUACUGGAUGAGGCCACAGC